GUUUGAUCCUGGCUCAGAUUGAACGCUGGCGGCAGGCCUAACACAUGCAAGUCGAGCGGUAGAGAGAAGCUUGCUUCUCUUGAGAGCGGCGGACGGGUGAGUAAUGCCUAGGAAUCUGCCUGGUAGUGGGGGAUAACGUUCGGAAACGGACGCUAAUACCGCAUACGUCCUACGGGAGAAAGCAGGGGACCUUCGGGCCUUGCGCUAUCAGAUGAGCCUAGGUCGGAUUAGCUAGUUGGUGGGGUAAUGGCUCACCAAGGCGACGAUCCGUAACUGGUCUGAGAGGAUGAUCAGUCACACUGGAACUGAGACACGGUCCAGACUCCUACGGGAGGCAGCAGUGGGGAAUAUUGGACAAUGGGCGAAAGCCUGAUCCAGCCAUGCCGCGUGUGUGAAGAAGGUCUUCGGAUUGUAAAGCACUUUAAGUUGGGAGGAAGGGCAGUAAAUUAAUACUUUGCUGUUUUGACGUUACCGACAGAAUAAGCACCGGCUAACUCUGUGCCAGCAGC
rnacentral:rRNA from 1 species